rnacentral:misc_RNA from 1 species
GAUGAAGAACGCAGUGAAAUGCGAUAAGUAGUGUGAAUUGCAGAAUUCAGUGAAUCAUCGAAUCUUUGAACCCACAUUGCGCCCCUUGGUAUUCCAUGGGGCAUGCCUGUUCGAGCGUCAUUUGUACCUUCAAGCUCUGCUUGGUGUUGGGUGUUUGUCUCGCCUCUGCGUGUAGACUCGCCUCAAAACAAUUGGCAGCCGGCGUAUUGAUUUCGGAGCGCAGUACAUCUCGCGCUUUGCACUCAUAACGACGACGUCCAAAAGUACAUUUUUACACUCUUGACCUCGGAUCAGGUAGGGAUACCCGCUGAACUUAAGCAUAUCAAUAAGCGGAGGA